rnacentral:rRNA from 1 species
GACGAACGCUGGCGGCGUGCUUAACACAUGCAAGUCGAGCGGAGCGGCGAACGGGGGAGUAACGCGUGAGUAACUGCCCCCCUCUCUGGGAAAACAGUUGGAAACGGUUGCUAAUACCGGAUAGUGGGGGAUGACUCGCGUCUUAUCAGCUUGUUGGUGGAGUAGUGGCCUACCAAGGCGACGACGGGUAGCCGGCCUGAGAGGGCGACCGGCCACAUUGGGCUGAGAUACGGACCAGUCUCGGACGGGGGGCAGCAGUGGGGAAUAUUGCACAAAGGGGGACACCCUGAUGGAGCAACGCCGCGUGCGGGAUGACGGCCUUCGGGUUGUAAACCGCUUUCAGCAAUGGCGCGGUAGUGGCAGAAGGAGCACCGGCUAACUACGUGCCAGCAGCCGCGGUAAUAC